AACCACACACUAAGGUAGUAAUAAACCUAUAUAAAAACGGCGGCAUUUUUACCUCAGAGAGACCUGUAUUAUAAUCGAUACUCCACGCUAAAUUUAACUUUUAUUUAAAAUUUAUAUACCGCCAUCUAAAGAAUUACUUUAAAAACAUAACUCCAAAAACUAAUAUAAAAAGUUAGGUCAAGGUGUAAUCAAUAUAAAAGAAAAUAUGGGUUACAAAUAAAAAAAAAUAUAAAUAAAUUAAUAAAAACUAAUAAAAAUAAAAUUUGAUAGUAAACAAAAAACAAUAAUUUAACUUGAAUUAAUAAAAAAGUGC
rnacentral:rRNA from 1 species